GACGAAGGUGGCGAGCGUUGUUCGGAAUCACUGGGCAUAAAGCGCACGUAGGCGGCGGCGUAAGUCGGAUGUGAAAUCCCUCGGCCCAACCGAGGAACUGCGUCCGAUACUGCGCUGCUUGAGGACCAAAGGGGUGCAUGGAAUUUCCGGUGGAGCGGUGAAAUGCGUUGAUAUCGGAAGGAACGUCGGCGGCGAAAGCGGUGCACUGGUUGGUCUCUGACGCUGAGGUGCGAAAGCCAGGGGAGCAAACGGG
rnacentral:rRNA from 1 species